ACCCAAUGCCCUGGAAUGCGGCUGCACAUCCACAAAAGAAUUAUUAAAAUAUGAGGAGAAUUAAACAAAAAAUAAAAACAAGAAGAGACAUAUUUGCCUAUUUUCCCCCUAGUGCAAUAAAUGGAUAAAUAAGCAAGCAGAAGUAUUAGUACUAGCAAUUUGCUAGUACUAGUACUUCUACUAGCAAUAUGAAAAAGAGGUUAAUGAAAAAAGGAAGCAUGACUAGGGGCGGAACUGACACAGGCUUGAGUUGGUACGGUGAAUUGGCAUACUGGUUAGCAUAAUUUCUAGCAAAAAAGGAUUUACA
rnacentral:misc_RNA from 1 species